rnacentral:rRNA from 1 species
AUUGCCUCAGUAACGGCGAGUGAAGCGGCAACAGCUCAAAUUUGAAAUCUGGCCCUAGGCCCGAGUUGUAAUUUGCAGAGGAUGCUUUUGGCAAGGUGCCUUCCGAGUUCCCUGGAACGGGACGCCAUAGAGGGUGAGAGCCCCGUCUGGUCGGACACCGAGCCUCUGUAAAGCUCCUUCGACGAGUCGAGUAGUUUGGGAAUGCUGCUCAAAAUGGGAGGUAUAUGUCUUCUAAAGCUAAAUACCGGCCAGAGACCGAUAGCGCACAAGUAGAGUGAUCGAAAGAUGAAAAGCACUUUGAAAAGAGAGUUAAAUAGCACGUGAAAUUGUUGAAAGGGAAGCGUUUAUGACCAGACUUGGCCCGGUUGAUCAUCCAGCCUUCUGGCUGGUGCACUCUGCCGGUCCAGGCCAGCAUCAGUUCGCCGCGGGGGAUAAAGGUUUCGGGAAUGUAGCUCCUCCGGGAGUGUUAUAGCCCGUUGCGUAAUACCCUGCGGUGGACUGAGGUCCGCGCUUCUGCAAGGAUGCUGGCGUAAUGGUCAUCAACGACCCGUCUUGAAACACGGACCAAGGAGUCGUCUUCGUAUGCGAGUGUUCGGGUGUAAAACCCCUACGCGUAAUGAAAGUGAACGCAGGUGAGAGCUUCGGCGCAUCAUCGACCGAUCCUGAUGUUCUCGGAUGGAUUUGAGUAAGAGCAUACGGGGCCGGACCCGAAAGAAGGUGAACUAUGCCUGUAUAGGGUGAAGCCAGAGGAAACUCUGGUGGAGGCUCGCAGCGGUUCUGACGUGCAAAUCGAUCGUCAAAUAUGGGCAUGGGGGCGAAAG